AUGCCGGUGAAAGACAAAACCAUCUUCUCGAGCUCUUUGGCUGCUCCAUGCUCAAAAGUGAUAUUAGUCAAGGCCGAGCCCUCAACAAGAAGGUACUUGAGGCAUCUGAAUUCAUCCUUCUUGAAGUUCAACAUAGACUCGGUGCAUGCAAUGUGUUGGAGCCUUAUGCACCGUAACUUGGGCAGCUUGGCAAGGACUUUCAGAUCAUCUUGGCUCAGCAGAGUGUGACAUAGGGUUACCUUGGCAAGUUCGUUUUUAUCACCUUUUAUGAACAAUGGAAGAAGACGCCCCUUCUGUGUGGUUCCCCUGAUGCUUAGACUCUCAAGAAUCUUGGGAUGGUUUUCUAAGAGAGAGCCUAUGCCAUCUGGUAACUCUGCACUGUAA
rnacentral:rRNA from 1 species